CAUGCCUAAUUGCCCGACUUCACUAAUGCUGUUGUAGCUGAAUGGAAGCAAGUCCCCACAGCAAUGUGAUGUUCGACGAGCAGGUGUCCACAUACUUUUGUCAUGUAUUAUACAUGUAUUAGGAUCACUGAUGUGAAGAUCUGUCAAAUGUAUUGUGGUAUAUUUAAAUCAAUGAACAGUUAAUGAAUAGAGAUGAGCACAAUCUAAGGAUUACCAUACUACCAAGAUACUCUCAUCAAAGAGCAUUAUUUGUGCAUGACUGCCUGGUGGCACAUGUUAUAUGAUUCAGAAGCUGACAUGUUGUGUUUGUCCCUAAAUAUUAAGCAAAUAAGCCUGAAAUGAAAAUCACUGGGAAAGAAUGGGUACUGGUCAACCUAAAUGUCUCUGGAUACUACAGGGUUAGCUAUGAUGAAGCCAACUGGGAAAGUCUCAUCAACGUACUGAGCACCAUUCCUCAGUUAUCAAUGGAGCUCAAUUGGUGGAUGAUCCUUUUAACCUUGCAAGGUGAGUACAUAGUUCACUGUAGUCAUGAUUUAAAGAGUAAUACUUGACAUUUUAUUUAUAGUAGGCCGAUAAGGAGUCUCAAUUAAAUAAAUAAAAAUCUGUAAAGGGCAAAAUGUAUCGACCUAAUAAUAGUGUUGCGAACAACGAACAGAAAGGGAAUAUAUUCCGUGGGAGUCAGCUCUCGACAACUUGGAAUUUUUCUACCUCAUGUUUGAUAGGAGUGAAGCCUAUGGGGAUAUGCAGGUUGGUUUAUUUUCUUGAAAGGCAAUAAGCAAGCAAUACAAACAUGUUUAAAAAUAGUAGAACAAACAAAACAUAUUGGGACGAACACUAGUUGUGUUUUCUGUCUUUUAGGCUUACCUCAAAAACAAGUAGAACCACUUUACAUACUAUAAGGGUAUCACUGACAACUUGAAAACAGUACCCACUGGACAUAUGGACCAGUACAACCAAGUGAAUGCCAUUGGGAUGGCCUGUAGCACUGGACUGACGGAGUGUCAGAAUCUGACUAAUGGCUGACCCUGUCAACAAUCCGUACCUGGACUACACCCUGGAUGCAACCAACAUCUGCAUCUGUUGUUGGCCAGUCUCUGGCCUGUGACUUUAUGAGAGACAGUGACAGUUACUCAGUACGGUGGUGGUUCUUUCUCCUUCUCCAAUCUCAUCGAUGGUGUGACCAAGAGGUUUUCAACUGAAUUUGAGUUCUAACAGAUGGUAUUACAGAUUAGGGGAUUUGUCAGCACAUAUUGCUCAACAUGUUUGUAUUGGGGUACGAUGUGGACCCUAAAUAUAGAGUUUUCUAUAUUGUACAAUAUAAGUUAAUGUUUACCUUUGCUGUCACAGCUCAUGCAGCUACAGGCAGACAACUGAGGUUGGCUUCGACUCGGGUAUCUUUGCAAUUUCACAGGCCAUUGAGUGGACAACAGCUAACAUCAAAUGGGUGGCAGAGAACAAGAACUGUGCAGGCAUGGUUUAAAGCAGAGACUGAUGCACCAUGAUGGUCACAUGGAGACACAAACACCUGUCCAUUUAUUUAUUAUCUAAGACCAAUCCUAAAGCCAUGUUUCCUGUUGUUUUUUUGUCUCUCUAACAGUCAAUGACACUUUGUAUUCUAACGUUAUCCUGCCCCUUAAUCAGAAAUACUAUGUCGGCCUAUACUUCUAUUUUUUGGGGAAAUAACUUUGUGUGAAUUAAAACAUUUUUCUAUCAAAGACUAACUUUCUAAAAUGCUGCAUUGCUAUUAAACACUGGUUUAUGACUGUGGAUUGUGGAAAUAAUGUGGAAUAAUGUGGAAAUAAUAAAUACAACUGUU